CAUGUUUCACAAAUUUCAGUUUGGGAACAUUGAUUUCGUCGUGACGGAACUAACCUUCAGACGAAACUAACCUUGAAAAUACCUCCCUGUUUUGAUUUUACUUGGAAGGAGGUAGUUCAAUGUAGCAGGUUUAAUUAAUUAAGAAAGAAUGGGAUGCGACGACGACGAAACGCAUAAUAUCCAGUUUAAAAAGAAGAAGAAGACGAAACCUUUAAGGAAACGCGAAGCUUCUCGGUUUGAGCGAGGGAGAGAAAAUGUCUAAGGAGAAAGUCGAGGAAACAAAGAUUAUUCAGGAACUCCGCGAGAGACCGACUGGCGUCGAUACUGUUGGUUUGGCGCUCGGAGAAAGUGUUGUAUCCAAUGUGUUAAUGUCGGAUCCCUUUAAUAUGAAAACCAGAGGAAAAUAUGACUGUGCUGAAGAAUGGUGAAGAAUAUAAGCCGAAUGACAUAUACGACACUAGCAUUAGAACAUAAUUUAACAUAGAGACCAAUAAACGCAACGAAGAAUGAUCAAGUAUAUAGAAAAAGAAUUGUCAAAGCACAAGAGUAAAAAUAAUAAUGAUGCAGCGAAUAGUACAAAUAAUGAUAAGGGAUCAUAUUGCUUUCCAGAGGAAGCAGCAUUGCAUACGAUACUGGAACAUUUGAGGCAGAGCUUGACCAAUCGUAGUGAGAAAAUGCUUUUGAAUCAAAUGCUAUCUGGUAUUUCAGAAGUUGAUCUUGGCACAUAUUGUACAGUUUUUAAAACAAAUUAACAUUGAAGCUACAGAGGUAAAAUUUAAACUUCUUUGGGAUAGACAAAAAAAAGAUGGACCUUCACAGUUUGUUCCUGCAAAUAUGGAUGUGAAUUUUGUACAACACAACAGAUGUAUGAAUUUUAUUCUCUUUGUUAUUUUUCAUAGAUAGGAUUGGAUUACUAUACCAGUCAAUGAACAAAUAGAAAAAACUUAGUAUAUAAUUACCAUUUUCAAGUAAAAAAUAUUAUUUUAAUUAAAUUGAUAGUUUAAAUUAAAAAAAAUAUUUACAAUUUAUUAUUUUAAAGUCUUAUUCUAAUAUUGUUCUUAAACAAUUAUCUACUGAUAAUUGUUUCGCAACUGCUGCAGUGAUCCUAUAUAUACAUGAAAUACACAUGAUACGUAUAGUAUUCCUUAUCAAAAAUUUAUUAGCUACAUUAACAUUUACUAACUACGCUUUCUUUGUUUUAUAUAUUUAACUUUUUCAUGUUAGAUAUAACUUUGUUCUGUCGAUUAAUCAUUUUGUUCUUUUUCCGUCAACCUUUUUUUGGUGACUAGGAGGAAAGCCAGCAUAGCCACGAUGUCUCGGCCAAUGGGUAGCACACAUAUGACAAAGAUAAAUUGUCUUGUUUUUAGCUUUAAAUUUUCAUUUUUAUAGAGUUUGUAUUUCUAUGGGAUUUUUUAAUGUGGUUAUUCUCUUACGUUCUGCACUACUAACACAAUGCGCAUAAAGAUUACCUGUAUUUAUUUUUUGUUUUUUUUAUGUUGUAUACAUUUUUUUGUCUUGUGCUUUAUACAGAACAUCAAUAGGCAGCAAAAUUCUAUUUCCAGACAUAUGACUUGCAGGAGGCAAUCUUUCAGCUCUGAAUCCCCAAAAUUGGAGAUCAAAAAACUAGAUCGUAUCGAGGUAUUUUCGAACAAACUGAAUCUUGUCGUAGCUCGAGGGAAGAAAAUAACACGUGACUGAAUCAUUCAAACAGCCAAAAUACAAUAAAUUAUCGCAACAAGCGAUAACGAGGUUUGACGGACAUGAAGGAAAGCAAGAGACGGAGGCAGUUUCUCCGAUUUCUCGAAGUUUUUGAUAAUGAAAAUAUUUAUUCUGAGAGAAUAUUAAGUUAAUUAAUUUUUUGUUUAAUUUCUUUUUUAUUAUUUUAUUAAGUAUAAGAUUGUUAACGUAAUUUUUUCACCACAAAAUCGUCGCAUUCUUUCCAAUUAAAACAAUGAAGAAAAAGACUAAUAUGAGUUCUAAUAUUGAGUAUUUUCUUUUUUUUUUGGCGAUUUGUAGUAAUGAACCAUGUAGUAAUUCAUGCUUGUCAUAAUCAUCCAUUAAAUAAACUAAUCGACUAUGUGUUUAAUUAUGUA